rnacentral:lncRNA from 1 species
GUGAGCUAGGGGGUGCAUAGGAGGAGCCUCCUCACAUUCAGGAAGGAGGUGUGGAACAGAGGCUCUUCCCAGGGCUCUUUCUGCCUCUGGAUGUUGGUGUUGAUGAUGUGAUGUCUGGAGCUGUUGCAACCACCUUGCUACCAGCUUGAGGCUGAAGCUUCAAGAACAGGAAGCCCCCAUAUUGUAUGAGCCUCAGGCCCUGCAGCACCUGGUCUGCCUGUGAUCAUGAAGAGAGUCCACCUGCCCAAGGAAAGACUGUGCCGUCUCAUGCUUCCCAGGCCUCCGAUGCACUCAUCCCUCCUUCCAGAGUGAUUUCUCUAUGCUGGGUGAGGGGUUUCCAACCUCUGCAGUUUCCAUCUUUUACCUCUGAUCUGGUGCAUGAUUUUUUCUAAAGGAACUCUUAGAAGACACUUAACAUGACCUGAUCAGGAACCUUCUUUAGCUUCUUCCAAGGACACAGCUCAGUGCCCAGAAGAUGGACCUGUUCACUCUCAGCUUCCCCGCAUCCUGCUCUGUUCCAAGGGAGCAGACACACAGGGAAAAGUCGGGGGAGUCCUGUGCAGAACCCCGACGUCACACCAUCUUCCCCAAGGAAGAUAGAAUUGUGUCAGAAAGGGACUGUUUUUCAAAAAAUCAGCUGUUCAUUGUGUGCCUGGAUGGUGGUCCCUUUGGUCAAUAAACCCUUCAUCCACAUGGAAAAUUAUGAGCACUUCCGUGCAAGAAAGACUUUGCCCCCAACCACAACAUCUGUGCACCUGCUGCUCUGCCCUCAGCCGCUCUCUCCCAGUAGAAGCCUGAAUCACUAAGUGCACCCUCCACUGAGAGGAUGAGGCCCAGAUUUGACUCCCCCGCUCAUGGCUGCCUGGGCGCUGCUACACUUCCCACAUCACAGACUCAGUUAAAUCCCAUGGGGGUGGAGAGGAAAUGGAAGCAGAUGCUGCUCACUCUCCCUGCCAGACCAUUCUCCUCCUGGCUUCCUAGGUGCAGCACGGUGGGUGCUGGCCUCAGGGCUGUUUCAGCAGCUUCCUCUUUGUCAUUUCCCUCUCAGUGUUCAUGGCAGCCACCCUUGGUCAAUGCAGCUCUGAGUGAGGAAGACAUUUCAGAGCCUUGGGCCAGAGGCACCUGUCCUGAGGGCUGCACCCCCUUCUCUUUGAACUAAAAUAGCAAAGAGAAGGACCGUGUGGGCUUGGGGCCAUGUGACUUAGGAGUGUAGCCUCCUGCUUGAGGCACAAAUAUCUACUAUUCUAUGAAUCAUGAUGACACUAAGUUUUUUUUAUUAAUUGGAACAUCAUCCUUGGAAAAAAACAGUCCACUUCAUGCCAGUCCCAUUUGUGUUUUAACUUCU